CACGUAGGGCGCAAGCGUUGUCCGGAAUUAUUGGGCGUAAAGAGCUCGUAGGCGGUCUGUUGCGUCUGCUGUGAAAACUCGGGGCUUAACCCCGAGCCUGCAGUGGAUACGGGCAGACUAGAGGUAGGUAGGGGAGAAUGGAAUUCCCGGUGUAGCGGUGAAAUGCGCAGAUAUCAGGAGGAACACCGAUGGCGAAGGCAGGUCUCUGGGCCGAUACUGACGCUGAGGAGCGAAAGCGUGGGGAGCGAACAGG
rnacentral:rRNA from 1 species